rnacentral:rRNA from 1 species
CCCUUAGAUGUUCUGGGCCGCACGCGCGCCACACUGAUGCAUUCAACGAGUGUACCUUGGCCGAGAGGCCUGGGCAAUCUUUUGAACGUGCAUCGUGAUAGGGAUAGAUUAUUGCAAUUAUUAAUCUUGAACGAGGAAUUCCUAGUAAACGCAGAUCAUCAAUCUGCAUUGAUUACGUCCCUGCCCUUUGUACACACCGCCCGUCGCACCUACCGAUUGGAUGGUCCGGUGAAGCCUCGGGAUUGUGGCGGUUGCCUUUAUUGGUGUCCGCCGCGAGAACUUGUCUAAACCUUAUCAUCUAGAGGAAGGUGAAGUCGUAACA